CAAUUUCCUCAUAAUAAAUCUCUUCCUAUACACCCAUAUCCUAUUGAUUCUAUUUUUCUGGAGAACUGUGAUUAAUAGAAUGAUUAAAAAACCAAUAGCCUAGUGAAUACUUUUAUUCAGAAUUCUCUCUUGCUUUCUCUGGUACCCCACUUAUACUUGGACAGAGCGUGCACCAGAAUUCCAAGGUCAGGUUGCAUCAAGUAUAAUAAGAGGUGAACUGAUGAGUGGGAGACGCACCAACCGUUGCCCUCCUGUGUGUCUUCACACACACGGUUGCUAUUUGUCGAGUGUGGGGGUUUACUUCCUUCUCACGUGGUGCUGGUGGUACAGAAUUCACUUGGCAAUGCAGGAGACUUGAGACACAGGUUCAAUCCCUGGGUCCGGAAGAUGCCCUGGAGGAGGAAAUGGCAACCAACUCCAGUAUUCUUGCCUGGAGAAUCCCCAUGGACAGAGGAGCCUGGCGGGCUUCAGUCCUCGGGGUCGCAAAGCGUUGGACACGACUGACGUGACUACAUGCGUAGGACUGGUACCAGGGGGCCUGCUCUUCUGGUCCUGCAAGUGUGUGUGUGUGUCUAGCCUUUACGAGGGACCAGCUAGCACUGACGAGCACUGUUUGUAUCCCAGCGCCCAGUACAUGAGUCGUUGGAUUUGGUAAAUGUACGGCAGUUGCAUCAGGGCAUAGUAGCUCUAUUUGCUUUAUAGAAAUUCUGGAGCACUGUAGGUAUUGCAUAUUUCUACAUCAAAGCUCUCAAAGUAGUUAGGGGUGUGGAGGCGCACACAGCCUCUAACACCGCCGCGCGCACCUCGGAGGCCUCCGAGCAGGGCACUGCCUCUGGGCGUGCUGUGUGCUUGCCCCCCUGCGGUGGGAAUGGAAGAGCUUUCUCAUCUGAUGUUGCUCAAGGGGGACGCACGCCUGGAAAGUGAUCAGCAGAGAAGAGAGUAUAGACAGAUUCUGCCGAUGCUGGUUUUUCCUGACCCAGGCGAACUCAGGGCUGUGAAUUUCAACAGCAACCGCCUUUCACUGAGAGCCCAACACACCACACGUUGGGGUGAGGUGUCGCUGUGCCCCUUGUAACCCCCGUGACAGCACUGUACCGAAGGGAACACGGAGACGCAGGCAGGAGCGCGAGCCUGUGUGUGAACUUAACAUGCUUCACUAGAAGAUCAAGCUGUUCUGAAAGUUGACUACCUACCUGUGUACACGGAGCGCCAGCCAAGGAUGAGCAGGAGUGGCAUACAGAUAUCCACGUGAUGUCAAAUCUUACUUCUUGCACCAGGAUUAACAUGCCAGAACACCAGUGUGGGAAGCCCCCCUGCAGAUACUUGUGCGCUCCCUACCGUCCUGCCUCUCUUCGCUCACGCGGCGUGGAGCUUCU
rnacentral:lncRNA from 1 species